GACUUUAGCCCAAUUUACACCGAACCAUUUAGCUAAAAUGGGUCUAAUCUACACCAAACCAUUUCGACUUUAGCCCAAUCCAAACCAUUUAAAGUAGUAACCCAUUUACACCAACCACAGAUAAUCCACAUUUUAGAAACCAACCUAUUUAAUUCCUUCUAAUCCAACCCAUUAGAAGCCUAGCCAUAUGCAUCCUUCCGAAGCUUUAUCUCACUUAAGCCUUUCCGAGCACUCUGCUUUCGGUUCAAAAACCUAUUUCACUGCUCUACUAUUAAACCUGCACAUUAGAGG
rnacentral:lncRNA from 1 species